AGGUCGCCAGGUCGGAAGAGUUUGCCUUUGACCCUUGACUCAAAAUAUCUAGUUGCUUUCUGCUGGUACGCCUCCAUGCAGAUUUAAGCUUCUCUGAUUUUUUUCUGCAGGUUGCGGUUUGCCUAAAGCUGAUCUAAAUUUGUUGAGUCAUCGAAGCUUUCCACCCGAAGCGAUGGAAGUACGAUCUCCAAUGAGAUUACUGCCUCCAUUCCAACGGCAAGGUUGAAAGGUGUCUCCCCGGUAGAGAACUGAGACGUUGUUCGGUAUGCCCACAAGAUAUUGGGGAGAUCUUUGGCCCACAUUCUUUUUGCUCAAUCCAGUCCCGCCU
rnacentral:lncRNA from 1 species